rnacentral:sRNA from 1 species
GGAAUCCUGUACUAUGUCUACAUGGGGCUGCUGGCAGUGUUCUGUACCAAUGCCAUCAAUAUCCUAGCAGGAAUUAACGGCCUAGAGGCUGGCCAGUCACUAGUCAUUUCUGCUUCCAUCAUUGUCUUCAACCUGGUAGAGUUGGAAGGUGAUUGUCGGGAUGAUCAUGUCUUUUCCCUCUACUUCAUGAUACCCUUUUUUUUCACCACUUUGGGAUUGCUCUACCACAACUGGUAAGUAGGCCUGUGGAUAAGGGGACAACUACCUGAACACAUGGCAAAGAUGGCCCUUAUCAUAACCCACCUUGUGGUGGUGAAGCUAAACCUGCGCAUACCUCUAUGGAGUUUUCUGCGUCUUCAGUUGGUAGUAUUCUGAAAUUUCUCUCUACCCAGUAGUAGUUAGGGAUGAGUGCGUGGAGGCCCCAGGAAUAGUUGAAUUCAGGGCCUUGGAUCCUGCAGAGUUGCUGCACAACUGGAGUCUCCUCUGAGUCAGAACUAGGGUCAGGGCUAGUCCAGUGCCCAUAGGGUGUGAUGUGAGAGAAGGGAUUGGUAAUGCCUCUUGCCACUGGCUCGGAUCCUCUUCCCCCACACAGGUACCCAUCACGGGUGUUUGUGGGAGAUACCUUCUGUUACUUUGCUGGCAUGACCUUUGCCGUGGUGGGCAUCUUGGGACACUUCAGCAAGACCAUGCUACUAUUCUUCAUGCCCCAGGUGUUCAACUUCCUCUACUCACUGCCUCAGCUCCUGCAUAUCAUCCCCUGCCCUCGCCACCGCAUACCCAGGUAGCCGCUUUGGGGCUUGAAAUGGACAUCAUAGCCUUUUCACUUGGGAUAUCUAAUGCCAGCCUAUACAUUUGCUGUGCAAAGGGAGUGGGCCCAAAGAAGGGCUAUUUCCAUGUGAGUAGCCCUUUAUAACUUACAAAGCACAUUUAUUUGCAUAAUCUGCUACAGUGGUUCUGAUAACAGUAAGCAGCAGAGCCAGAAAUAGAUCUCAGGUUGACUCCACAUUCAAUGCUCUUCCUAUUAGCCACAGGGAGGAGGGUUCAAAUAGUGGCCCAGUCACAUGAAGCUAUCUUCCCCCCGCAGACUCAAUAUCAAGACAGGCAAACUGGAGAUGAGCUAUUCCAAGUUCAAGACCAAGAGCCUCUCUUUCUUGGGCACCUUUAUUUUAAAGGUAACAGGGUAACAAGGAGGUAAGGCCCUAGGCUGCCAUCCUGACCUUGAGGAAUGGGGAACCUAGUCCUACAUCAGAUCCAAGGGGAACUUGAAAGCAUUAAAUAGAUCCACAUUCCUAAAGCAUAGGUAUUAGCUGAGGUUCUCUUCACCUCUGGUCCCUCCAGGUGGCAGAGAGCCUCCAGCUGGUGACAGUACACCAGAGUGAGACUGAAGAUGGUGAAUUCACUGAAUGUAACAACAUGACCCUCAUCAACUUGCUACUUAAAAUCCUUGGGCCCAUACAUGAGAGAAACCUCACAUUGCUCCUGCUGCUGCUGCAGGUGAGGAUGGGAAUCGAGUUUAUACCUCCGUGUCUCCCUUUCUGCGUGAUUCUUACUCCAGUCCAUUUCUCCUUGCAGAUCCUGGGCAGUGCCAUCACCUUCUCCAUUCGAUAUCAGCUCGUUCGACUCUUCUAUGAUGUCUGAGUCCCUUGAUCAUUGUCCUUUACCUCACAGUCUCUAGGAUUCCUGACUCAGGCUGACCUCUCUCUCUGGUCCCAGACUGCCUCCUUGCCCAGGCCUCUCUCACUCUUCAUACUCCUCCAGAUUUUGUUCUCAGCAUUUUCCUUUCUCUGUGAUCAUUGGCAUCCUGGGCGUUUCUUGCCCUCUACUGACUACUGAUUGGAUUUUACCUAUGGCUUUCUGCGACUUGCUACUCUCUCCCUCUCCAUCCCAUCUUUGCAGCCUCAUAGGGUGGGAUACAGCAGCUUUUUUUGCAGUUAUCCACACUCACAUUUCAGAGUCCUGACUCUCAAGGAACCACUGGUUUUUGGGAUAGAACUUGGGCCAGGGCUAGGAACACAGGCUCCACGGUGACAUGUCAUUUGAUUGUAAAUUAAGUGUUCUGAUUAGUAAGAACUAAGCAGGGGGCCACAUGCUCUCAAUGGAGACAAUAAAGUGUUGUCUUUUUCUU